AAGACCUUAAAAAAACAAUUAGGGUUCCCACUCUCUCAUCUCAUACGUUGUAUUCCCUCUUUCCUCUUUUAGUGUAGUUCCAACUUCUUCUCAACCAUGGAAGAAGUUUGCGUUGCCGAUUUCAAGCAAGUUCAUUAUCUCUCUUUGUGACUCCUCUCUCUCGUCUGCAACAAGAGGCCAAAUUACUUUUGAAGUUUCUGACCUUUAUCCAGAGUUAAUCGCGGGUGUAAAGAUUUUCUCUUCGAAAUUCAACGGCUCUUUGAAAUUCAAACGGCUAAUCCAUUCUUCAUAUCCCGCCCGAGAAUCACUUUCUCAAGGAGAUCUAACCCUUCUCUAUAAAUAGUCUCUUUGGAUCUCAGCCGAAAUCAGAGGUUCUAGAGCAUGAGAAAGACCACAAAAACUCUAAAUUUCUAAGGCUCAAAUACUCUCAGAUGCUGUGGAAAGUACUAAGCUUUUUCAGCCGACACUAAAUAUCAAUACAUUUUCUUAUAUUUUCAAAACUGCUUUUCCAAGCUCUUGGUUGUUCCUUCACUCUAAAGGACGACCUUUGGAUCUGAGUUGUAAAAUUGGAAUUCGAUCGUGACGAGAGAAUAGAUUCUGCGACGACGCCCGAGUUCAGAGCCCCAAACAAAAAAGUUUUACUUUGAGACUUGCCGCUACCUCGCCAAGAUUGCGCACCUUCGUCCUUUACAACUUUUACUUCGUCUAGGCAACAAAAUACAAAAGAUAAAAUCUUCUGGGGAGCCGACAUGGCCCUUAAUCCCUUCAUUUAUAUUUUAAC
rnacentral:lncRNA from 1 species